rnacentral:rRNA from 1 species
CCCUUAGAUGUUCUGGGCUGCAUGCGCGCUACACUGAAGCUAUCAACACGUUUUCCCUCCCUGAGAAGGGCGGGUAACCUUUUGAAUCAGCUUCGUGGUAGGGAUCGGGGCUUGCAAUUGUUCCCCGUGAACCAGGAAUUCCUAGUAGACGCGAGUCAUAAGCUCGCAUCGAUUAAGUCCCUGCCCGUUGUACACACCGCCCGUCGCUACUACCGAUUGAACGUUUUAGUGAGGCAUUUGGACCGACGCAUCUCAGUUUAACCGCUGGUUUGUGUUGGAAAGACUUCCAAACUUGAGCGUUUAGAGGAAGUAAAAGUCGUAACA